UUCAAGGAUAACUUAAACUCAGCCAAUAGUGCAACUAUCUCGCCACUUUGCUGAUGAUCAUGGUCAAGAAUGAUGCUCCAAUUUGCUAUUUCAAGGUUGUCGAAGUUCGGAUUAGCUCCAAUUUACAACACCAUCUAUAGUUUGGAUCUCAGUCGAACCCAUAGUAAAUUGUCUCUUUAUCCAAUGGUUCCUGACUAAGUCUAAUUUGACUUAGCUUUUUAGUAUUUAAAUAGAUCCAAGAAUGUUUGGAUCAUGCAAAAUAUCGAAAUAACCUCGUGAAUAUCCUUUCCUCCUAAUGGAUCCUCUGCAAGGGAUCCAUACCUUUCCAGCAAGGGUUGCAGAACUUGGUAGUCUGAUCUUAUCUCAAGAGAAU
rnacentral:lncRNA from 1 species